UACGGAGGAUGCAAGCGUUGUCCGGAAUGAUUGGGCGUAAAGCGUCCGCAGGUGGCUGUGUAAGUCUGCUGUCAAAGAUCGAAGCUCAACUUCGUAAAGGCAGUGGAAACUACACGGCUAGAGUGCGUUCGGGGCAGAGGGAAUUCCUGGUGUAGCGGUGAAAUGCGUAGAGAUCAGGAAGAACACCGGUGGCGAAGGCGCGCUGCUAGGCCGCAACUGACACUGAGGGACGAAAGCUAGGGGAGCGAAUUGG
rnacentral:rRNA from 1 species